ensembl:lncRNA
GAAACAUCUGAGAUGCUUGAACUCAAUUAAGGCUCCAGAGAAUUGCAUCAUAUCUUAGUGUCCUGGUGGACAGUGUUGUGUGAUGGAGGACUCUGACCUGACGCCGACACUCCUGACCUCAAAGUGUGCAGUCUGAGGGCAGUCUGUGAAACCCCAGUGCAUGUUUGCAUUCCUGAAACGGUCUGUAGCAGACGGUGAAGGCUGGAUGAAGAAUGGGAAUGUUGCUUUAAGGUUUGUGGGUUCGGAGGUUAUCGCACAAGCUGCCUACACAGGCUCUCCAACAGUCCAUAUUGAGGUGAUACCCAUACCGCUUGAGAUUCAGUAGCAUAAGCCAAAAGACACUGUAUGUUAUAAAGAUUUUACCACAAUAAGAGGUGUCUUUAAGGCCCAGUAUACUGAUGGUGAAGCUCUUUUUUGAUCUUUGCUUAGAGGUGAAAAGAAUUGUGAAGUAUCUGAGCAGGAGUAUACUGUUAACGAACAUCAUGGUGCCACCCACACCACUGAGAGUGCCGU